AUAACCGGUUUCUAUAUAUUUCGUCGCCAAUGAUAAUGUCUCCAUCUAUACCGAAAUGUAUUUUUUUGUACUUUACUGCUCCAUAAUAUAAAAACGGCAGUGUUUCCUGUAGGUUUCCCUUCCUACAUUGAUCCGUGCCAUAGAGAAACAAUUUAUCGGGGAUUAAUUCAUUGAGCAUUUGUCGCACUUUGUUCCCUGAGCUAUCAGGCUGUCUGAAUCAAUUGGCGACACAUACCAAGCACUGCUGAUCACCCGACAUAUAUUAAAGAUCACAUCACUUCGCCUCCCUUCUUGUUUUCGGGAAGAACCAAUUUACUACAUUUCCAUCUUCUAAUGGCACUUGGAAUCGUAUGGUGAAUCACAGCGUUACACUGGAGACGUUACCGCCGGUCGCUGUAUGUAUUGAUAACUCUAUUCCAAGGAGUCGGGAUCGAGCGCUUUCCGCAUAACUCCGCCAAACUCCACACCUCUACCUGCGCCGAACAGUAAACCAAUGUCGGGCGGAGGGACAUGUCGUGUCGGGAGAACGAACCACAACACGUGUUAGUUGUGUUUUAAUUUGCUACAAUUUAGAUUUAUUCGAUUGUUUGGAAUAUUAUGUGAGUAUUUGAGUUUAAGAUGGUGUAGUAUUGCCGGAGUUAAAAUGUAGCGUGUACUUUGUUCAGUGAUAGUUUUGUGAGGAGUCAUGGCUUAACGAACGUUAAAGUGAACACUGUUUUGUAAUUCUAUAACAAAAACAACAACUGAUACACGUACAUAUCUACAUACAUAUUUAAUUCAAGUGAACAUUUAUCAUACAAACAAGUCGCCAUACCUUGUUAUCAUGGUGUCUAUAGAAACGACUUUUAUUUGGUCAAACUGACUUUCCCUGUAUUUCGGAACAUGCAUGGAUGGCUAUUAAAGGGAAUUGACCAUCCCGUAUCCCGACAUCUGUCGUGUGUGCCAGUUUAAUGGAUUUAGGAAUGACCCCGUUAAUUAUUGUGCCAUUGGUUUUCCUCGUCUACUUCCCACUCUUCUUUACCAUCUUCCUCUGCUUUUAUCUACACUCCCGGCGAAACAAAUACGACAUGGAACCCGACGUCACAUAACAACUUUACCAAGGACAAUGACGUCAGAAAAACAGGAGCAACCAUACCAGGAAACGUUUAACUUUAGAAUGGAUUUCGCCAUCUGAGAUAUACAACAUUACAACAAACUGCAGUGCCUCCUAACUCCUGAUUUGGAUUUUAAACAACAACCACUCCACAAUCAACCCCUCCACAAGAAAAAGCAAGGAUAGCAAUGAUUAUCGACUAAGAUCAGCUCAUGGAUAACAUUUCUUCUAAACAGAGAAACUAUGGAUGGAACAGAUCUUGUUAAACAAGUGUUACUUGGAUUUGAUAACUAAUUAGUUUCAUAUAGAAUGGAUUGACAUUCGGACCUGUUUGUCGAUAUUCGUCACUAUUACAAAGAAGUUAGUGUGAUAUUUACUAUUAAACGAUGAUGCAGCAUUAUUUAAUGCAGCGUUCAAUGAAUCACUUAUCGGAGAAAAUAAUAAGAAAACGCAGCGAACAUAUGGUUACACAUAUCAAGCUUAACCUUGACAAAGCUUGUGAAACAUCACACUGUCAAUUUGACUGCUAACUUGUUCACUGUCUUGGAAGGUUAAUCAACUCAUAAACACCCCAACUGUGAUGCUGAACUAUUAUCCAACAUGGAUUAACACUGAUGUGCUUAUUUAACGCUUACAUACAUAAACGAAUCAUGUGACAACAAAGUAAUAGGAAUAUCAUAUACCCCAACAGAUUCAAAAAUAGUUCAAAUGUCAUUGAUUAAUUUCUUGAUCACAAAAAAAUGAAAAAUGACAUAUAAAAAUGGAUCAAUUAGCAUUUAAAUUCAAAUUUUAAUUCAAGUUUUAUUUGUGGUAUGUUGUCUAUUUAGUUUGUUUAUACAUGCACACGUGACAAUUUAAUCAUCAAUUACUGGCUGAAUUUACCUGUACUUUGUAGGAUGCUUUAAAUAGAUUUCAGAGUGGUCUUUGGUAUAACCUGAGUAGCUGCUAUACCCCUUUGGCGAGCGAUGCAUCUUAAGUACAAUAUUGCUACGCUAUUUUGUAUGUCGCGGUGCUGUUCAUCUUUAGUGAGGUACGUCAACUUAUAUACUUAUUGGUUCAUGCUGGUAACAUGAUGAAUUGCUGAGACACUCUUGAAAUGUAUAUUAAGAUUUUAUGCUUCAAUCAAUCAUGUAAUCACUCUAAGCUGAUAUUAAUAAUGUAUUAUUUAUAUAUUGUAUCAUCUCAUUUAAAUCGAAACAUUUGCAUGUCUUGUCCUUGUUUCAAGUGAUGUUUGUCUACAAUAACUAAUAUCAUAUUGUCACAUAUAUACGAUACUGUGAACAUUGACACUAGAUCAAGCUGUAUAACAUAUGGUUGUAGAGAAGUAAUCCAUGUGGUGUAAUGUAUUCCAGCAUUUGUAACAUAAAACAGGUGAAUACAUAUUGUAUCCUGUGUCUGAU